UUUGUGGAGAGUUUGAUCCUGGCUCAGGAUGAACGCUGGCGGCGUGCUUAACACAUGCAAGUCGAACGGAAAGGCCGAAGCUUGCUUCGGUACUCGAGUGGCGAACGGGUGAGUAACACGUGGGUGAUCUGCCCUGUACUUCGGGAUAAGCUUGGGAAACUGGGU
rnacentral:rRNA from 1 species